CCUACGGGUGGCUGCAGUGGGGAAUAUUGGACAAUGGGCGAAAGCCUGAUCCAGCCAUGCCGCGUGUGUGAAGAAGGCCUUCGGGUUGUAAAGCACUUUCAGUGGGGAAGAAAGCCUUGGGGCUAAUACCCUCGAGGAAGGACAUCACCCACAGAAGAAGCACCGGCUAACUCCGUGCCAGCAGCCGCGGUAAUACGGAGGGUGCGAGCGUUAAUCGGAAUUACUGGGCGUAAAGCGCGCGUAGGCGGUCUGAUAAGCCGGUUGUGAAAGCCCCGGGCUCAACCUGGGAACGGCAUCCGGAACUGUCAGGCUGGAGUGCAGGAGAGGAAGGUAGAAUUCCCGGUGUAGCGGUGAAAUGCGUAGAGAUCGGGAGGAAUACCAGUGGCGAAGGCGGCCUUCUGGACUGACACUGACGCUGAGGUGCGAAAGCGUGGGUAGCAAACAGGAUUAGAUACCCUAGUAGUC
rnacentral:rRNA from 1 species